UCAACGGAGAAAUAAGAAUUACACACUUUCUGAGCGCAGUGGCUCAUGGUGUCGAAAACAUUGUCAAUAGGCCACUGCCUCAGAAUGAGUGGUUCCUUCUUGAUAUUGCUGGAGAGGAUGAAGUGAUGUGAGAAGGUUGUCCGUAUCUCCAGAAGAGGUUGUAAAUAUUAGGUGGAUAGGAAAUAUUAUUAGGAUAGAUCUGUAAAUAUUAUAAUGUAUUAAUAUAUAAAUAAAUAAAUUGCAACUUGAAAAUUAUGUAGAAUA
rnacentral:lncRNA from 1 species